rnacentral:lncRNA from 1 species
CAAUAUUCGAGGUAACUGAACAUUAAUAAAAGUCCCCUUUCUUUAUAUUUUCACGGUAUACUCAUAUUACAACAUCACAUCCACCCCCUCUGAACCUAUGCAUCCUCCGAUAUGCACCAAUUUACCCAAUUGCUAUUUGAUUUAUAAUAUAUUCUCUACGUCUUUGUCCAGUUCGUCUUUGUCACCUUCAUUAUCCAAAUCACAUUCAUCUUCUUGCUGCGUGCUUAACUUGCAUAAUUCUCCUUCAAUAUUAUAUAAUCUCUUUUCUUUCUUUUCUUUUAAAAUCAUCAACUUUCUUAUACAUAAUAUUUCCAUUCUCCAAAAUACCAAUAAAACUCGCAUCAAAGGCACCUUCAUCUCGCAAGAGUACCUCC